UAGGGAAUCUUCCACAAUGGACGAAAGUCUGAUGGAGCAACGCCGCGUGAGUGAUGAAGGGUUUCGGCUCGUAAAACUCUGUUGUUGGAGAAGAACAGGUGAUAGAGUAACUGUUAUCAUCUUGACGGUAUCCAACCAGAAAGCCACGGCUAACUACGUGCCAGCAGCCGCGGUAAUACGUAGGUGGCAAGCGUUGUCCGGAUUUAUUGGGCGUAAAGCGAGCGCAGGCGGUUUUUUAGGUCUGAUGUGAAAGCCUUCGGCUUAACCGGAGAAGGGCAUCGGAAACCGGGAGACUUGAGUGCAGAAGAGGACAGUGGAACUCCAUGUGUAGCGGUGAAAUGCGUAGAUAUAUGGAAGAACACCAGUGGCGAAGGCGGCUGUCUGGUCUGUAACUGACGCUGAGGCUCGAAAGCAUGGGUAGCGAACAGGAUUAGAUACCCUUGGU
rnacentral:rRNA from 1 species